CCCAAAAGAGUUUUUGGGUCAUCAGGCAAUUAUAUUUGUGUUAUCUUAACCUUUUGUUGUUUGUCAUUCUUGUCAUAGUUAAGGAAGACAGCAGAAUCCAUAUAUCAUUUGACAAUUGUUAGUAACAUAGAACACCAUGAAAUAGGUGGUAAAUCAUAUGAAGGAAAUGUUCCGGUAAAAGCCGCCUCAAACUCCAGAGGCCAUUCCUGGGUAGCAGCAAUGCUGUUAUUGUUCUCUAUAAGCCAUAUAAGUGAGGAUCCCCAAAUUUCCCCAGCAGAGGGGAAGUAUAAGUCUGAUUUAAAGAUGUUUUCUUUCUUUCUUUUAUCUACCUUGCUGGCUUUGAGCACAACCCAGGAAGAAGUUCAAAACCAAGAAAACGGUGUUUGACAAGACCAGGAUGCUCAAUGGCAAGAUAUUGGAUGGAGAAAUGGAUUCAGACGGAGGCAUCAUUGAGCUUAUUCUUCUUGACUCAUCUCAGUCCAAACAUUACUCUCUCAAGUGUUGUUGUUAAAAUCUGCAUAUUAAAAGCUCAGCAUCAUCUAUUUGUGAGCUCUGUGUCUCAUUCAGGGAUUUUAAUUAAUUUUGAG
rnacentral:lncRNA from 1 species